UUCCAUCUGGACGCUGAUACAGUGUUCCACGGUUUAAUAAGGUCAGACUGAAACAUUCUUUAGUGCAUCAGUUGAUACUUAAACGAAAUAAGGAGCUUAAUCCAUAACAACAUUAUCAAGGCUGCAAUGCGAGUAAAUUUUUGUUCUUUGGAUUGUUUGUUUGUGAAAUAUCUGUGUCUUAUUUGUGUUGUUUAUGUAUUGUGUUGUUAAAAUCAGUCAAU